UGCUGGAGGAGCAGCUGCCCCACUACAAGCUAAGAGCGGACACCAUCUAUGGUUAUGACCACGAUGACUGGCUGCACACGCCCCUCAUCUCCCCAGAUGCCAACAUCGACCUCACAACCGAGCAGAUCGAAGAGACGCUGAAGUACUUCCAGGACCUGAGUUCCGUUCUCAGCAGCCACAUCAGGAACAACUGCUACAUAGGAGUGGAUGCCCUCUUCUGGACUCUUCGAGCGCUGCACUCACACGUGCACACACCCACAUAGACACAAACACAUAGAAUUUUUUAAAAUAAAAAAUAGCAAUAUCUGUUCAUUG
rnacentral:lncRNA from 1 species